rnacentral:rRNA from 1 species
GACGAACGCUGGCGGCGUGCUUAACACAUGCAAGUCGAACGGAAAGGCCCUGCUUUUGUGGGGUGCUCGAUUGGCGAACGGGUGAGUAACACGUGAGUAACCUGCCCUUGACUUUGGGAUAACUUCAGGAAACUGGGGCUAAUACCGGAUAGGAGCUCCUGCUGCAUGGUGGGGGUUGGAAAGUUUCGGCGGUUGGGGAUGGACUCGCGGCUUAUCAGCUUGUUGGUGGGGUAGUGGCUUACCAAGGCUUUGACGGGUAGCCGGCCUGAGAGGGUGACCGGCCACAUUGGGACUGAGAUACGGCCCAGACGCCUACGGGAGGCAGCAGUGGGAAAUAUUGCACAAUGGGCGGAAGCCUGAUGCAGCAACGCCGCGUGCGGGAUGACGGCCUUCGGGUUGUAAACCGCUUUCGCCGGUGACGAAGCGUGAGUGACGGUAAUGGGUAAAGAAGCACCGGCUAACUACGUG